rnacentral:rRNA from 1 species
UACGAAGGGGGCUAGCGUUGUUCGGAAUUACUGGGCGUAAAGGGUGCGCAGGCGGCCAAGUGUGUGAGGCGUGAAAGCCUGGGGCUUAACUCCAGAAUUGCACCUCAAACUACAUGGCUAGAGCAUUGGAGAGGGUAGCAGAAUUCACGGUGUAGCAGUGAAAUGCGUAGAUAUCGUGAGGAAUACCAGAGGCGAAGGCGGCUACCUGGACAAUUGCUGACGCUCAGGCACGAAAGCGUGGGGAGCAAAAGGG